CAAGUCCCCACAGCUCAGCUUAUAAUCAGGUGGGAGACAGAAGAAUUAGUGAAGCCAAUAAGCACGUGAUCUAAUUAUUUGCACGUGAAGCCAAUAAGCACUAAUCUAAUAGUGAAGCAAAUAAGCACGUGAUCUAAUGUGGAUGUCAGUCCUGUGAAGACAAAUACAGCAGGCAAGGGCUGGAACUGACCCAUGUGGAGGUCCAAGUAGGAGACCCAACGUAGGUCAUUUAGAGAAGGCCAUUGAGGAGGCCUUUCAGCUUUGGGCCAAGGAAGAUAAGGAAGCGAAUAUGUCUUGAUUGCGGUGAGAUAGAACCAUAGAAAAUGCAGGUGGAGGGGCAGGUUGGAGUCAGUCACACACAGAAGGGUUUGCUGCCAGGCAAGACUCUAUUGCGUGUAUGCUGGGGAGAAUUUGAGAGUGUUAAGCAGGAGAGCAACAAGAUCUGAUGUCCACUUUUGAAAGAUCACUGGAACAGAGGGCAGCAGGUAAGGGGGAAGCAAGGAGACAGUAUAAGGCCAGUUUCAUAGCAGGGGCACAAGCUGAUAGGACAAGAUUAGGGUGGCAAGAGGGUGCCCAGGGAGUCAGGAUUCAUGAUUAAAUGAGCACUGACCAGACUUGUGGGUGGAUUGGAUGCAGGAUGUGAGGGAAAGAGAGGAGGUAAGACAACUUCAGGGACUUGGACCGGAGCAACCUGGAUGCCAUGUACCAAGAAGCAGAAGACCAAAAGCAAAGCAGUUUUCAAGAAUCCACCUGGUGUGAGAUGCAGUGGGCCUUCUCCAAGCCAGGGGCUGGAGGCACCAGUCUGGAGCUUAAGGGAAAGGUCUAGCCUGUAGAUAGACAUAUAGGAGAUGUCAGUAUCUGGAGGGACCUUAUCUACAACCUCAGCCUGAAUGAGCCCACCCAGGGAGCAGGUGUAGACAGGGCCCCGGGGAUGAGUGUAGACAGAGCCCAGGGAGUGGAUGUAGACAGAGACCCAGAGAGAGUGUAGACAAGGCCCCAGGGAUGAGUGUAGACAGAGACCCAGGAGUGGGUGUAGACAGCCCUGGGAGUGGGUGUAGACAGCCCUGGGGUACUCCACCACUUAUCCGUUUGGAAGAGGAGACAGAUUCCAGAAAGGAGCCUGAGAAGCAGUGGCCAGGGGAGAAGGAAGAAACCGAGAGUGUUGUCCUGGAAGCCAAGUGCUUAAGGCAGCGGGGAGAAAUCAGCUCUGUCGAAAGCUGCUGAUAGGGUGAGGAAGAUGAGGCCUGGGGAUCACCCACUUUGGCAGCAAGAGGCCACUGCACAGGAGGCAUCCCCGAGGCCUGGAGUUUCCAGCUCUCAGCUCCAUCCAGACACACCAGCAGCCCACAGACCUCUCCUCUGCUCAUGUGGGCCCCAGGAAACGUUAGCCGGCAUCCUGGCACAACCCUCCCCAGGCCGCACUGGGCAAAGAUGGUCUCGCCUUGGUCGAGCUGACACGGGCACGCUGCAGCUUCCCAGAGGCCCUGCAAUGUCUCCACUCUCCAUGCCCAUGAUGCCCUGAUGCCUGCGGUGGCUGCACUGAAUGGAAGUAAUAACGCCCUCCUUUAGAGAUCCCCGCGAGUGCUAAGGAACUCGAGAGGAAGCCUCUUAUCAACUGAGCACACUGAGUGAUGGUCUCUUCCGGCUUGUCAUUACAGUUCCUCCCGGUCUGCUUAGCCUUCUUUCCUCUGGUCUUACCAUGCUGUCUCCCACCCUUUGUGGAGGAGAAUGCAGGGAAAGAAUAACAGAAAUUAUAGUGAGAGAUGGUGAUGAUGAUGAUGAUGAUGGUGAUGGUGAUGAAGAGUGUGAAUACCCCUUACUGAGCAUUUCUGCAGGCUGACCUAGUUCAACUUCUC
rnacentral:lncRNA from 1 species